ensembl:snoRNA small nucleolar RNA SNORA76
ACGCGCUGCCUUUGAGCCCCCGCCGCGCCUGCACGUGGCGCCGGGGGUUAAGCUGCAGCGCCAGAGCACGUACUCGCGCAUAACUGGGGUCUCCAACUCCCUGAGGACGGCCCUUUUAACCGCGAGCUACACGG